UGGUUCUAAUACAUCUACAGUCAAUGAUAAAUGCAUGAUAUGUUUAUAUGUUGGAUAGUAGGUCAUUAAGGAUGUUUGUUAGUUAGGUAUGGGCUAAUCUCGGUUGGAUAGUAGGUCAUUGAGGAUGUUUGUUAGUUAGGUAUGGGCUAAUCUCGGUUGGAUAGUAGGUCAUUGAGGAUGUUUGUUAGUUAGGUAUGGGCUAAUCUCGGUUGGAUAGUAGGUCAUUGAGGAUGUUUGUUAGUUAGGUAUGGGCUAAUCUCGGUUGGAUAGUAGGUCAUUGAGGAUGUUUGUUAGUUAGGUAUGGGCUAAUCUCGGUUGGAUAGUAGGUCAUUGAGGAUGUUUGUUAGUUAGGUAUGGGCUAAUCUCGGUUGGAUAGUAGGUCAUUGAGGAUGUUUGUUAGUUAGGUAUGGGCUAAUCUCGGUUGGAUAGUAGGUCAUUGAGGAUGUUUGUUAGUUAGGUAUGGGCUAAUCUCGGUUGGAUAGUAGGUCAUUGAGGAUGUUUGUUAGUUAGGUAUGGGCUAAUCUCGGUUGGAUAGUAGGUCAUUGAGGAUGUUUGUUAGUUAGGUAUGGGCUAAUCUCGGUUGGAUAGUAGGUCAUUGAGGAUGUUUGUUAGUUAGGUAUGGGCUAAUCUCGGUUGGAUAGUAGGUCAUUGAGGAUGUUUGUUAGUUAGGUAUGGGCUAAUCUCGGUUGGAUAGUAGGUCAUUGAGGAUGUUUGUUAGUUAGGUAUGGGCUAAUCUCGGUUGGAUAGUAGGUCAUUGAGGAUGUUUGUUAGUUAGGUAUGGGCUAAUCUCGGUUGGAUAGUAGGUCAUUGAGGAUGUUUGUUAGUUAGGUAUGGGCUAAUCUCGGUUGGAUAGUAGGUCAUUGAGGAUGUUUGUUAGUUAGGUAUGGGCUAAUCUCGGUUGGAUAGUAGGUCAUUGAGGAUGUUUGUUAGUUAGGUAUGGGCUAAUCUCGGUUGGAUAGUAGGUCAUUGAGGAUGUUUGUUAGUUAGGUAUGGGCUAAUCUCGGUUGGAUAGUAGGUCAUUGAGGAUGUUUGUUAGUUAGGUAUGGGCUAAUCUCGGUUGGAUAGUAGGUCAUUGAGGAUGUUUGUUAGUUAGGUAUGGGCUAAUCUCGGUUGGAUAGUAGGUCAUUGAGGAUGUUUGUUAGUUAGGUAUGGGCUAAUCUCGGUUGGAUAGUAGGUCAUUGAGGAUGUUUGUUAGUUAGGUAUGGGCUAAUCUCGGUUGGAUAGUAGGUCAUUGAGGAUGUUUGUUAGUUAGGUAUGGGCUAAUCUCGGUUGGAUAGUAAGUCAUUGAGGAUGUUUGUUAGGUAGGUAUGGGCUAAUCUCGGUUGGAUAGUAGGUCAUUAAGGAUGUUUGUUAGUUAGGUAUGGGCUAAUCUCGGUUGACCCUAAAAUCGUGCGUAAUUUGAUCAGAUGCUCGAUAACACAUUUGCGAAGUCUCAUAAACGGAAACUCUCAGCCCUUUCUGAUAAUUUCACUUGUGUUUAUCAUCCAUGUUUUUUUUUGCACACACAAUGCAAUGAAAGAGUGUCAACGUGGAAUUGUUCAGAGUAUGUUUACAUGCACACAAUACUACCAUUAUUGUGAAUACUGAGAUUAUAAAGGUUUUGUAUAAUUUCAGCAACUUCCUAUGAUACACUGUAUGUUCACUUCUUUUACAAUAUGUACAAUAUGUUACCAAUUUGUAAGUACUUAAGAUCGUGUUCAAUCUCUUUAAUAUAAUAGUUCAAUUAAAAAGUGUACUUGCUUUACCAGAAGAACAUUGUCUCUUACGAUCCAGUCUACAUGGAGAUGUCUGAUAAUCAGGCUAGAUAAUCAGGCUAGGCCUACUUGA